UGUCUCAGCUUUGAUUUGCAGAUUAAAGUUUAAAACGUCUUGAUGAGUUUUCUGCGUCUCCUUGUCGUUUGUGAGAAACGAGAAACCACGACAAAAUUGGCGUCACGAACAGGAUCGGAUAGAGACCUGCGAGGAAGGGAACAGCAGAUUGGGACGCUUCCCAGUCCCUCGGGGACCCUCACGGGGCUAACACAAAUAAGGGUGCACCCAAAGAAAAAAGGAAAAACAGAAAGAGCCAGAGAUUGAUCAAGGGGAAGGACCAAUCAAGCCAGGCGAUCAGGUCUACGUGCGAACGUUUCGAAGAAAGUGGAACGAACGCAGAAGGGAAGGGCCCUUUACAGUAACCAAAGCAUCACCCACCGCAGUUCAAGUGGAAGGACGCUCCACCUGGUAUCAUCUCAAUCACUGCACUAGAGCAAUCCCGCAGGUACAGUCUGGUGGGCUGCCCGAGUCGCUUGCAGUGCGUGCUGCAAUGAAACGGUUUCCAAUGCUCCUGGAAAUUUUUGGGUCGAGCCCUACGGAGAAGGAGACACCGAUGAUGUAUUCGUACAGUCUACGAGACAUGCAAGACCAACAGGAGAGAGAUGAAAUAUGUGGGGAUUAGGCUGUGAAGGCUCCUGAGUCUUUUUCCCUGUCUCAGAUACGAAGGGAUGGGUUUUUGGCUCAGCAGCCUAGGGAGUUAGGGAGAGAACACUUUGAGUCCUAAGCGCAGGAAACUAUAGUUUAACCCAAAUUUGGGAGUAAAUGCGGGGCUUUAUUUGAGUUUUUGUGCAUAGACUCUCAGUCCUCUCUCUCUCUGUAUGAGACCCUCUGGGUCUCACAGGGGAGAUUAUAUUGGAAAAUGUAAACGCAUACAUUGUUUUUUCUAUGUAUUACAGUAUUUACUCAACAGUAUUUCAGUAUUUACUCAAAUGCACACAUUGUAUUUUCUAUAUUUACUAUGUAACCACUGCUAGCUGAAUAGAAGGUAUUCACUAUGUAGCCAUGACUUUUGACCUUUUCACAAUUAAUUCAUGAAGAGAUCUAGAAUGAAACCAAGUAGAAAGAUAACGGUGGCGAGUAAGGUAAUGAAAUAUGUGGCAGUAUGUCAACACAAGACUAAUUAAGAAAUAACUGUUGUUAGGGAUGAGAGGACAUAUGGUCUAAAAUGUAAACUAGGACAUAAUUAAGUUGGGGAAUAAAACAAUAGUGGAAAGUCGAGAGCGGAUAUAUUGAUGAUAUGUAAUCACAGGCCGACUGGAUAUGAUAAUGUAGCUAAGAUAGGAAAUUGCUAUAAAAAAUGCUGUAUACAAGCCUUGAUGGGCAGUCAGUUACUAGCUUUCUGAUUGUCUCAGCUUUGAUUUGCAAAUUAAAGUUUAA